AACCUCCGCAAUGUGAGAAAUCGCGACGGGGGGAUCCCAAGUGCCAUUCUUAACGGGAUGGCUUUUCAUUAGUGUAAAGAGCUUUUGGAAUAAGGGCUGGGCAAGACCGGUGCCAGCCGCCGCGGUAACACCGGCAGCUCUAGUGGUAGCAGUUUUUAUUGGGCCUAAAGCGUCCGUAGCCGGUUUAAUAAGUCUCUGGUGAAAUCCUGCAGCUUAACUGUGGGAAUUGCUGGAGAUACUAUUAGACUUGAGAUCGGGAGAGGUUAGAGGUACCCCCAGGGUAGAGGUGAAAUUCUGUAAUCCUGGGAGGACCGCCUGUUGCGAAGGCGUCUAACUGGAACGAUUCUGACGGUGAGGGACGAAAGUUAGGGGCGCGAACCGGAUUAGAUACCCGGGUAGUCCUAACUGUAAACGAUGCGGACUUGGUGUUGGGGUGGCUUUGAGCUGCUCCAGUGCCGAAGGGAAGCUGUUAAGUCCGCCGCCUGGGAAGUACGGUCGCAAGACUGAAACUUAAAGGAAUU
rnacentral:rRNA from 1 species